GCUGACCUUCUGACCAUAUGACAGAGGGAUUAUCUACUUCUGGAUGGUGACUAACCACUGAUAACCAAAACCUCAGUAUUUUUCAUUUCUCCUGGCCCCACUGUCUGUGCCUCCAAGGCCCUGGGUGUGAGAGUUUGGAGGUUUGGAUGUGGUUUCAGUACCAAAGAGGAAAAUGGAUCCAGCUGCCCCUCACCACAGACCUUCAUGGCAUGCACUGUGCUGUCGCCUCAGUGGAUAACACUUACGGUUUAGGAGGAAACUUUGGAGUUUCUCAUGUGGUAACAUCUUUUCACAGGAUGCCUUCAACCACAAAACUAAAGGGUCUGGGCAUGGACCAGCAUGUGUGGAAUGAAGAUUGCUUGAUGGAAUG